rnacentral:lncRNA from 1 species
AUGCUAUCUGGGUGGGAUUUCCUGCAAUAUCUCCUCACAGGACAAAAGAAAAGCAUAGAGCAAGGAAAGAAGAAUCAACAAAGAACAAUAAUUCCAACAGUAAUGUGGAAACACAGACGUUUGUUGGGCAUGAUAAAUAAGAGAAGCACAGCCAGCUCUCUCAUUAGAGAGGAUAAGGCAUCUGCCUCAGGGAAUCAUUACUGAAAUGGCAACCAUCAUCCAACAGGCUUGCUCAUUUGUGUCUGUGUCUGCAUUUCUUCAAAACCCUUGAGGAGGGAAUUAAAGAGUGCUCCAAGGCUUAUGAACUAGGUAAUCAGGAAAAAUGCAUACAUUACCUACUACAGAAGAAAAAGAAGCACCGAGCAGAUUUAUUAGGGAGGCCUGUUGUAAUGUAAAAAUAAAAAAGAGUGAAAGAAAUAAAAUGCUGAAUUC